GAGCGCAGGUGUCGUGGUGUGGGUCGCUCGGCAGGGAUGCCGAGCGAGCGCCGUUGGGCCAAGGAUGGCCCGUCGGCGCGUGCCCACACCACGGCACCGGAGCGA
rfam:Pseudomonas caspiana strain FBF102 scaffold00002, whole genome shotgun sequence.